GACAGCUUGGCCGAGUGGUUAAGGCGACAGACUUGAAUCACAUGACAUUCAUGGUAUCUGUUGGGUUCGCCCUCACAAGUUCGAAUCUUGUAGCUGUCG
rnacentral:tRNA from 1 species